UCUAACGUAGAAUCAGAAUCGUUCAACUGGCUCUCGGAUUAAAUUUUCUUCAGUUUUUCGCAUUUCCCGCUGCCAAGAUUUUUCGGGCAUUUCCCCUGCGAGCGACGCGAAACGGGAUGCUGGCACUCAAUUUAUCGUCUUUUAAUGUGAAAAUUCCGAUUCCCCCGCAGUUGUGUUCGCGUUGUGCGUUAAACAGCAGCAGCAGCAGCAGCAGAUGACGACGGUCGGAGAGGAGGAACAUGCAAGACAAUCCGCGCGAUGAUGAUAAAAAUCAAUAAAUUGAGUUGAGUUGCAAUGCGUGUCGUGUCGAAACGGGCAGGAGACGACAAAAUUUACACACCAUUUAUAACGUUACGGUACACAGGUUUAUAAUCAUCAUCAAAAGUCGCCAAUUUCAAUCACAGAUGGCAAAAAUUCCCGUGUCUGGGAUGAGAAAAAAAUCGUUAAAAAUAUUCUCGUUCGAGAACUUUCCCGAAAAACGUCAAAAAAUCAAAAAUUUUAGUGCAAAAAUUCAAAAAAUCAAACAAAAAAUAUUUUUUUUAUUAAAAUCUCAUUCAUUAAUCGCGAAAAAAUCAAAAAAAUAUCAGGUGAGGAUAACAAAUUGUUAAAAAAAAAAUCAAAACUAUUCAGCUGCGUGAAAAAUUAUCAAGGAUUAACUCGUCAAAAGUCACCUGAAUAUUUAAUAACGGAAAUUCAUGUCGAAGUAAGAUAAAUUUUCUCAUCUUUUAGUAAUUUUUUUUUGAAUAUUUUAGAAAUCUCGCAUACACACACGUACAUCCAUUGACGCCCCAUGCACCGCAGGAAAGUCAUCCGUUGAUUGCGAUUGCGCUCGACGCCUGCGUCGUC